UCAUCCACAAUGGCCCGGAUGACAUGUACACGCCGGUGGGCUGUGACAACCGGAGUUUAAAAGUACAAGUCCUAUUUUUUACCCCCCUUUUACGUUCAUCACACAUGAAGACUGGCACUUUUUUUUUUUUUUUUGUAAUUAAAAACCCAAAAUCUCAACCUUCAUUGGAGCAACUCCCCACGCAGGCAUCCCCUCUUGAACUAUGAAAGUACAAAUAAAUCAAUUUCAACUUUAUUUGGAUAGAAAGAGUUAAAAAAAGAGAGACGCCUUCCUCUUGUAUGCAGCCUUAAAAAAAGAGGAUUUAGAGAUUUCAUUCUUUAAAAAAAAGUGUCCUCUCAUUUCAUCCACAGAGCUCCACGACACCACAUCACGCUGCAGGACGAGGACGGUGACCAUGUUCAAGUGCCACGAAGAAGACAAGCGAUAAGGUAAUGACCAGGAUAUAUUAAUACAUUAUUAUUGUUAUUGCUGUAAUAUUCAGCUACAUUUGCAGAAGCUAUCAUUUGAUUCAUGCUCAUUUUUGUUGUUGUUGUUGUCAAGGUGACGUCUUAAAUUGCUUUACGGUACUCAGCAUUGAAGAGUUUUUUUUUAUAUAUAAGACACAAGCAAGGCCACGGUGCGCGCGCACACACACACACACACACACACACAUAUUGAACCCUCACGCGCUCCCAGCAGAUUCCCACGCAGAGAAAGAGGUUUUGUUUUGGAUCCUCCCAAAUCGGAUUUUUUUCAUCCACCUGCUCUCACCUGAGCACUUUAUUCUUCUUUAAUCUGUAGGAAUGGACUCCAAGAUGCGUUCAGGUACAGCAUUAUUAUUAUUAUUAAUAAUAAUAUGAAAUGUAUAUAUAUUCUCUUAUGUACAUAGUGAUUAAUUUGAACACUUUAUGUAGGGAAUAUGCAUGAUAAUUAUCAUUGUAAUAUUCUGAAACAUUUAAUGAAUUUAAUGAAUUGAACAUGCUGCCAGAUGAUCUGUAUACGAAUUAUUAAAUUAAAUAAAUAAUUUUGUGGCACGAGAGUUGGAGAUUGUUAUUUAAAAAAUGUUGAAUAAUUUUUUUAAGGUAAACAAAUAUUUAAUUAAAUAUUUUUAUUUAAAUAUAUAAUUAAAUAAAUUAAAUAUUCUGCAUGAACAUUUUGUAUGUAUUUAUCGUAUAUUUAUGAGCAUUUAUAAAUUCCACCGCAUGGCAUUUUGAACAUAUGCUAACAUUAACCGGGAAUGACUCGUCUAUAUAUGAAUCACAGCAUAUGUUUCCGCCACGCAGCGUGCCAAAAUGCGCAGUUCUGCGGCACUUUCUCAUGGUGCAUCUCGGCGUAGAAAAUAGCUCAAUAAUUGAUGGGGAUGGUAAAAAAAAAAAAGCCGGGCCUCCGCAGGGAGUGCGUGUGUUUAAAAGGACGUUUAAAAGCACAAGGAGUUAAGCGCCCCUGGCGGGGCUGCACAGCUCCCACUGACUCCCGCCUUUUUUUUUUUUAUCUCCGCCUCUGCUGCACUCGACCUGAGGCUGUGGAUGUGGAUGUGAGCGGGCCUCCUCGGUGCAAAGUGUGAUUUCCACUUUGUCUGCACCUUCUUCUUCAUGCAGCCAUUAGAGAUUUCUCCUCCAGAUCAAAUGUGGCCCCCACAAGAGUUUCGCUGACAAACAAAGGGAUGCAAUUAAACACACACUCAGAUGAUCAACAAGGAGGCAAAGUGGAGGAUGGAGGACGCCACGCAAAGGCAAAGUCAAGGUUAAACGCGAGAGAGGAGGUCAGACUCAAAGACGCAAAGUUCUGAACGUUAUGAACUGAGUGUGUGGUGCGUUCAAGGAAACUAAGGCGUUUACUAGUAAUGAUGUGCGUUGCUGCCUGUUGUACGCCGUGCACCGUGUGCUAAAUGCUGCCCUGCAGACCAGACCUGUAGAGUCUUCAAAGGUGGAGGGGGGGAUUUGUUCAGGCUUAUUUGGCAACCUGGGAUUUGAAUUGGAUUCUGGGAGGCAUUCAAAACACAUUUGAAACGUUACAUUGUGUGAUUUCAUGUCUAAUCCCCAUAGUCCCCUUUUUUUUUUUUUGGUGGGGGGGGUAGGGUGGUCACAGUACUUCUACCGGUGCGGCUAUUCAGGAUUCAUCAUUUUUUUUAUUUUUUUGGGGGGUGUGGGUGCCUGUGAGGUGAGUGCCUUCCAUGUUGGAGAGCUCCUGAAGAGGCGACUCGUCGCUUUAACCUUCCUCUCCACGCUGUUUUGUUUAUUUGACCUGAAUGUGUGAUAUAGGGUCAGCCUGUGGGCCCCCCCCUACUUACAACCCCCAGUGGAUUAGACCUUCCUGGUAGGACCACUAGUGUACAUACACACACACUGUUCAAGUGUUUUGUAUUGUUUUAUAAUAAAUGAUACUAUUAAUAAAUGCAGUAA